rnacentral:rRNA from 1 species
GUUCGACUCCGGAGAAGGAGCCUGAGAGACGGCUACUACUUCCAAGGAAGGCAGCAGGCACGCAAAUUACCCACUCCCAGCUAGGGGAGGUAGUGACGAUAAAUAACGGAACGUAUCCCGAUGAGACGCGUUACCGAAACGAUCGAGCCGUAUACGAGCUUGAUGAAGGCUAUUGGAGGGCAAGUCUGGUGCCAGCAGCCGCGGUAAUUCCAGCUCCAAUAGCGUAUAU